rfam:Methylosinus sp. 3S-1 3S1contig127, whole genome shotgun sequence.
GUCUUAUUUUGCGGCGGCGGAGCUCGACCGCCGCUCGAAACAAUGAUCGCCUUCAUCGACGCUCAUCGGGAAGCGCACGGGGUCGAGCCGAUCUGCAAGCUCUUGCCGAUCGCCCCU